rnacentral:rRNA from 1 species
UACGAAGGGGGCUAGCGUUGCUCGGAUUGACUGGGCGUAAAGGGCGCGUAGGCGGUUUGCAUAGUCAGACGUGAAAUUCCUGGGCUUAACCUGGGGGCUGCGUUUGAUACAUGCAGGCUUGAGUUCGGAAGAGGGGUCGUGGAAUUCCCAGUGUAGAGGUGAAAUUCGUAGAUAUUGGGAAGAGCACCGGUGGCGAAGGCGGCGACCUGGUCCGAUACUGACGCUGAGGCGCGAAAGCGUGGGGAGCAAACAGG